AAUAGAUACCCCGGUAGUCCACGCCGUAAACGAUGAGUGCUAAGUGUUAGAGGGUUUCCGCCCUUUAGUGCUGCAGCAAACGCAUUAAGCACUCCGCCUGGGGAGUACGACCGCAAGGUUGAAACUCAAAGGAAUUGACGGGGGGCCCGCACAAGCGGUGGAGCAUGUGGUUUAAUUCGAAGCAACGCGAAGAACCUUACCAGGUCUUGACAUCCUCUGACAAUCCUAGAGAUAGGACUUUCCCCUUCGGGGGACAGAGUGACAGGUGGUGCAUGGUUGUCGUCAGCUCGUGUCGUGAGAUGUUGGGUUAAGUCCCGCAACGAGCGCAACCCUUGAUCUUAGUUGCCAGCAUUCAGUUGGGGCACUCUAAGGUGACUGCCGGUGACAAACCGGAGGAAGGUGGGGAUGACGUCAAAUCAUCAUGCCCCCUUAUGACCUGGGCUACACACGUGCUACAAUGGAUGGUACAAAGGGCUGCAAGACCGCGAGGUUUAGCCAAUCCCAUAAAACCCAUUCUCAGUUCGGAUUGUAGGCUG
rnacentral:rRNA from 1 species